GGGUCAGUAGGUUGGUCGUGCCACCGGUACGUACUGGUCUCACUGAUUCCUCCUUCCUGAAGAACCGUAAUGCCAUUAAGUUGGUGUUGCGGGGAAACAGGACUGUUACUUUGAAAAAAUUAGAGUGUUUAAAGCAAGCUAACGCUUGAAUACAUUAGCAUGGAAUAAUGAAAUUGGACGAUCGAUCCUAUUUUGUUGGUUUCUAGGAUUGACGUA
rnacentral:rRNA from 1 species